rnacentral:rRNA from 1 species
ACCGGCGGCUCGAGUGCCGCCCCCCAUUCCCCGGCACAAAGCGUUCGUAGCUGGCUUGUUAAGUCUCUGGGGAAAUCUUCCGGCUCAACCGGAAGGCGUCUCAGGGAUACUGGCAGGCUAGGGACCGGAAGAGGUGAGAGGUACUCCAGGGGUAGGAGUGAAAUCCUGUAAUCCUUGGGGGACCACCUGUGGCGAAGGCGUCUCACCAGGACGGCUCCGACAGUGAGGAACGAAAGCUGGGGGAGCAAACCG